rnacentral:lncRNA from 1 species
AGCGGCCCAGGGUUUCGCCGGUUCGAAUUCUGGGCACGGAGAUGGCACCGCUCAUCAAGCCAUGCUGAGGCAGCAUCCCAUGUGCCACAACUAGAAGGACCCACGACUAAAAGCUCUGCAUUCUGAGUUCCAGUCUCUAGGCCCUAAAGAGAGGUAUCCUUAUAAAAGACAGAAAAGGAGAAGACAUACAGAGAGACCCACAGAGCAGAAGGCCAUAUGAAAUUGGAGGCAGAGAUUGGAGUGAUGCAUCUUUAAGCCAAGGAAUGCCAAGGAUUACCUGCAACCACCAGAAACUAGGAGAGAGGAACCAACCCAGGCAACACGUUGAUUUCAGACUUCUGGCCUCCAGAACUGUGAGAGAAUAAAUUCCUGUUAUUCUAAGCCACCAAGUUUGUGAUAAUUUGUUAUGGCAGCCCUAGGAAACUAAUGCAGCCUGUGUCAGUGAGGUGCUUGGCUU